GUUCGCGUGGUGUAGUCGGUUAUCACGUUCGCCUCACACGCGAAAGGUCCCCGGUUCGAUUCCGGGCGUGAACA